UGGGGAAUAUUGCACAAUGGGCGCAAGCCUGAUGCAGCCAUGCCGCGUGUGUGAAGAAGGCCUUCGGGUUGUAAAGCACUUUCAGCGGGGAGGAAGGCGGUGAGGUUAAUAACCUCAUCGAUUGACGUUACCCGCAGAAGAAGCACCGGCUAACUCCGUGCCAGCAGCCGCGGUAAUACGGAGGGUGCAAGCGUUAAUCGGAAUUACUGGGCAUAAAGCGCACGCAGGCGGUUGAUUGAGUCAGAUGUGAAAUCCCCGGGCUUAACCCGGGAAUUGCAUCUGAUACUGGUCAGCUAGAGUCUUGUAGAGGGGGGUAGAAUUCCAUGUGUAGCGGUGAAAUGCGUAGAGAUGUGGAGGAAUACCGGUGGCGAAGGCGGCCCCCUGGACAAAGACUGACGCUCAGGUGCGAAAGCGUGGGGAGCAAACAGG
rnacentral:rRNA from 1 species